GACGAACGCUGGCGGCGUGCUUAACACAUGCAAGUCGAACGGAAAGGCCCUGCUUUUGUGGGGUGCUCGAGUGGCGAACGGGUGAGUAACACGUGAGUAACCUGCCCUUGACUUUGGGAUAACUUCAGGAAACUGGGGCUAAUACCGGAUAGGAGCUCCUGCUGCAUGUUGGGGGUUGGAAAGUUUCGGCGGUUGGGGAUGGACUCGCGGCUUAUCAGCUUGUUGGUGGGGUAGUGGCUUACGAAGGCUUUGACGGGUAGCCGGCCUGAGAGGGUGACCGGCCACAAUGGGACUGAGAGACGGCGCAGAAGCCUACGGGAGGCAGCAGUGGGGAAUAUUGCACAAUGGGGGGAAGCCAGAUGCAGCAACGCCGGGUGCGGGAUGACGGCCUUCGGGUUGUAAACCGCUGUCGCCUGUGACGAAGAGGGAGUGACGGUAAUGGGUAAAGAAGCACCGGCUAACUACGUG
rnacentral:rRNA from 1 species